AUGCGAAAACUGCGUGAGUCUGAAUCGACAUGUAGCGGAAACAUCAGCAAGAGCACAAGCCACAGUAGCAUCCAUUCUGUCUGCGACGAGCCCGAACAGAAUGAUGCUGAAGCUGAUCCGGUAGCAGCCCCGGGCAUGCAGUCAACUGUGACACUCAACGGUCGCAAUUCUACUUCUUCUUUGGAACCGACGAACUACAACAGUAGAAACAACUACCAUAAUUAUAAUCAAGCAACGAAACAUUAUAGCCACAGUAAUAGCACCCCCCUAGGAUUAGAAACGACGACGUGUGGCGAUGAUGACAGUACAUCUAAGCCACACGAAUCACGAACAAUGGAAGCUCACAACGAUGUGCAUGCUUCUGCUAGAUUAGUAAGCCAUCAGGACGAUUACGACGACGGUGACGACGACAGCAGUAGCACUGGCGUUGUCAGCGUCAAAAAGACCCAUAGUAGUGAACCAAGUGUAGUGAGAACCACCAUGGUGACAACCGAUAGGCAGUUGUCCACGGUUUCCGAUGCUGAUUCCGCCAUAUCGUCAGCGCCUCCAUCGCUCAGCCCACAAACGACCAGCUGUCCCAACUCGCCGGAAGUAUGGCGAGCACAUAUCCAUCAUCAGCAGCAAUCAGAAGAAAAGCAGCUGCAAUCGCUACGGGACGAAAGCCAACUGAAGGAGAUCAAACUGGAGCUGGAUAGGAUGCAGACCAAGUACGACCUGCUGAGUGCGAACUACAGCAAAGCCAAAGAGCAGAUCGACGAUCUCGAGCGGGAGUUGAUGGAGGCAGCGCAAGCUCAACAGGAGAGGGCGAAAUAUGCCGAGCGGAUUGAUUACCUGGAACAGCGAGAGGAGAAUCUGCUUCGAGAGAGUCAUGAACUGCGCGAGCAGAAUGAACUGCUCGAGUUUAGGAUUAUCGAACUGGAGGAGAGCCACGAUAAGUGGUCACUCCGCAGUAAUUCCAGUCCAACGGUCGGCAGCGGCAGCAUCAACGGCAGCACCACAAAGGACGUAUGGACCGAUACGGACAAGGAGCACGACGAUAUGAUCAUGCACUCGGAACGAUCGGACUCGGGCGUCACUUCCCCGAACAGCCACCACCACUUGGAAGAUCAACAAACCAGUGGAGUUCCUUCGCCAUGCUGCGACUUGUCCUUGCUGGAUCAGAUCCCGACAGAUGACGUGCGGAAGAGGAUCGUCACCAUGACCAAGAGGGCGUGCUACGACGAGGAGGACAAGAUGUGCUUGAUGCAGAUUUUGUCACUGUUGAACAACUUGGAGGCACUGUCGCAGGAUCAUGAGAUUGCAAACGAGGAAAUGAGCCUGGAGAUGCCUGUGAAGUACAACAACUAUUCCUUCCCGGAGAGUCAACCACCGAAGUCGUUGACGGCGACAUCCACGCCGUUCAAAAGUCAACAGGGCAAGAUGGUGGCCACCGUGCAGCCAUUCAGUAACAAUGCAAAUACCUCGGCAUCCAUGACGACCUCCACAGUGGGUACCAGUGAACCAAAGAGUUUCUCGAUCGCAUCGAUAGCGGAGACAUUUGGAGGAAUGAAAAAAUCCGCCAAAUGGGGUUCAACCAGCCUGCAGGAGAGUGGAGUAUUUGUGGACGAAAUGAUGGUCAGCUGUGUUGGCACGCAGACCGAGGUGGAAGACUUCCCAUGUCUGGAAAAGACCAAUGCGGAACUUUGUGCCGAGAUUGAAAAAUUGAACAGAUUCCGGCAGAAGAUCGAGGAAUGUACGAUCAAGAAAAACGGGAAGAAUCCUGUGGGAGUCAGUUUAUCGCUACCGGCGGAAUCUUGCGAACAAAGAAGACUGCAGUACUAUGUGAACCGGAUGGAGCAGCUGGAGAAUAAAGUCAAGGUGUACGAGAGCAGCGGCGAUCAGCAGUUGAGGCAUCUAGCGGAUAGACUUCAGCGAGAGAUUCAACUGGAGAGCUGGGUGGAUCAACUCAGUGAGAAGGUGAACAAGUUGGAAGACGAAAACGAGCAGCUUGAGGAGGAGAGAUGUGAACUGGAAGAAAUCGAAAACGACACCCGGUUGAGGUUACAGCGGAUGGAGGUGGAUUACGAGAUGAUGAGCCAGAGGAAUACGGAGCUGGAGAUGUCCAAAAGCUCGUACCAAUCAAAGUAUCAGGACGCCAGAGAUAGCUUAAUGAAUUUAGAGGAGCUAGUGCACAAAUGUGAGGAAAGGAUAUUCGUUCUUGAGGAAACAGAAAAUGAACUUAAUGAUCGCAUCGAUCUCAUACUGGCAUUUAUUCCAGUAUUGUUGAUGUUCAACAGCUGGCAGCUGCAGGAACAGAUGGCUGCCACUCGGAAACAGUACGCUAUCAACUAUAUCGCACCAGAGCAUAUUGAUUAUUACGAGUCAACAAACGGAGAUCUACAAAUGAGACUGAAUGAUCUGAUGAACCGUGAGAAGGAACUCACGCAGAACAUUGCCGAGUUGAAUCGAGCUUACAAUGAAACCCUGGAGAAUGCAGACAAUCUAUGGGCUCAGAUGGAGAAAGAGUACAAAGACAAGAUCUCCAAGUGCGAGAUGGUGGAGUUGAAUCUCAAAUCUAAGAUCGGUCAGCUAGAGGAGCGAUUGAGUAAGGAUAGUGAAUAUGCUCACGAGAGAAUUUCUUACUUGGAAGAGGCCGAGAAUAGCCUCAAGAAUCGAGUAUCCAAACUCAACAAAGAGAACAAAGACCUGAUUGCCAAACACGCCGCACUCCUGGAAGAGUACACCGCAUUGAAGGACGAAUACUGCAAGCUACAAAACUACCUCAAAGGAACGGUUGCAGAGAACCUUGAUAAGGAGAAACGCAAGAUCGUUACCCUAGAAGAGGAGCUUACCCUCUCCACGAAACUCCUCAAAGAUGUGGAAGAGCAUCACAAAUCCGAGUUGGGACAGAUGCGUGGUUCGUUACUGAAUGCAACCAAGGAACUGAAUCACAUUGAAGUGACCAACAGUGAGCUUCGUGAGGAAGUAGAAACUCUGGAAGUUCGCAUCCGAGAAUUGCUUACGCUGAGAAACAGCGACGAAGAGUGCAUCAAGCACUUGACGGAGGAGCUACAAUCUAAGCAAGCGCAUAUCAGCCAACUACAGCAGCAUCCGUCUAGCAACCACCGGGGAGGCUUUGGAAGAAGUCUUGCCCAGGAGCUGGAACGACCUGUCAAGGGAUCCUACUCGAAAUUAGGUUACGAAAUCCAUCCGCUCAGCCGGAAGUUUCCUGGGGACAGUGAUAGCAGCGGAAGUGAGGACAAAGUCAAAUUUCCCGUCACAAAGGCAGCCCCAGAAGCCAAAGAAGUCAAGAGCCUGGCCGAAACAAUCAUCCUGAAUGCCGAAAACCGAGGCAUUCGUGCGCCAAAAAAGUCAUUUGUCGAGGAGGCCCGUAGCCGUUUUGCCCGUUGGGUUUGAAGUGUGAAUUUCUUUUCAUUGUACAUUGACAUUUAGAGCAAUAUCAGCUGACAGAUAUGAGCAGAGCAUCGCGCAGAAUGCUUUUCUCUGUUUGGAUGGGUGAAAAAUCAACUAACUCCAUACCUAAGCAGGCCUUAACGUGUCAAUUCAUUAAGAAUAUGACAAACAUUCUCUAGGUCUGGGAUUUGUUGAGACUGUGACUAUCUAAAAGUGCCUUGUAGCAAAGUUGUUUCUAAGUUUGGAUGCGCAAAAAACAUCGGUAAAAAGGCGUAGUAGGCCAACGAAAACAAUAUCAAAAUAUUCAUCACACCGACGAAGCCGGCGCUGCCUUUGAAGAAGGAAAUGAUUCUAGUCGUUCACUCUGUUAAAAUUAUUACAUUGUUCAUCAAAUACCUUUAAGUUAGGACAACUGUGUACAGUUAUGUCAUCACCAUUGGCACAAUCUAUUUAUAAUGCAUAAUCACGAUCGUUGAAGCUCCUGCAUUAUCACGAAACAAACGAAACGAUUUUUGUAGAAAGACAAUGACGACGAACAGUUUAAUUUCUUUUUGGAAAUUACUCUUUUCUUACACGCUAACCCGUUUUUAGUUGUUUCGUUCUAAACUGCCAAUAAUUCGUACACUUGGUUUGCAUCAUUAUUUCCCAGUUUCACAAAUAAUUAUGUUAAGCUUGCACCUUUACUCCGUACUUUUCGUUCUUGUUGUUUAGUUUUUGUACUCCUGUGCAUAUCCAGAACCCUUAAGUUUAUGAAUUCAAUAUCGAUUAGUUUUUAUUUGGUAGUACAAUUUACAUUGUAGUGGCAGCUAAUUCAUCUGAAGAAAGCUCUGUUUUUACCCUGUUUAGUUUUUUGUCGUUCUUUGACGUCUGCUGAACGUGUGACUUUUAAGCGAACCUCUACUCACGACUCGAAGAGUAAAUCUCGAAUGAAAAUUUUCUCUCGAAACCAUUUUGUUAUUUAUUUUCCUAAUAUCUAUGACAUUUCCUUUUGGUAAAUCAAUCAAUCGAAAGCAAAGCAGUAAUUUUGUUGCAUGUGCUUGUUAGAAUGCAUGAAUGAAGUCAAAUGAUGAAACUUGUAACAUGUCAAUGAAAUUAAAUGUGAGCUUCCACAUUUUUCGCAAAUAUACUCAGAAGAAACAGUAUAAAAAAAUGUUAAACAGGAAACCUUUUGUAACGGUCCGAUGAACAAGCAAUUGUAAAAAGAAUGAAAUAAUAUAUUGAAACUUUAUUAGAA